rnacentral:lncRNA from 1 species
CUCCCACCUACAGAUGGCGGCUCCCCACAAACACAACAGCACUUUCAUCAUGGAGUGUAUCGAAUAAAUUUCCACAAUGGCUGUGAAAGAAUUAAUUCCACUUGGCGCUCCACGACGUGACAGUGUAGAUGCCACGCCACAUCCUGUGUCAGGUAGUCUACGUUUUGAACCUUCUGAGAAGACUCCAAAACUCUUGAGCUCACUGCCUAAAUGUAUCCUGCCCACUAAAAACCCUGAGCUGGAACAGAGGGACAAGUCCACUUCAGCUGCACUCAAAGCCUCCAAUAAUAGACCACAUCAGGAUAGUAUUCUGGAUUGCAAAGUUGUUAUGAGAAAACUACAACCAAAUAAUGGCAACAUUAACUCCAGGAAGGAUGGCUCUCUCAAUCCCACGAUUAAAAAGGACACUCUGCGGAGGACCAGUUCUUACAACAGAGACAGAGAAAUUUCUUUUGCUCUCAGUAAGGAGCUGAAUGAAAACUUGAGGGUAAAUGCAGCUAUAAUUUUUUUCUUAAUGCAUUUCCAUCAGUAUUCUAAUGCAGGGACUCC